rnacentral:sRNA from 1 species
UCAUUUUGUGUGCAAUUCUUGGCUAAAU